GUGCUCACUUCUUUAGCACAUAUAUUAAAAUUAGAACAGUACAGAGAAGAUUAGCAUGGCCCCUGUGCAAGAAUGAUACAUAAAUUCGUUUAGUAUUCCAUAUUUUU
ensembl:snRNA U6 U6 spliceosomal RNA